CCAAAGCCGGAGGAAGGUGGGGAUGACGUCAAGUCAUCAUGGCCCUUAUGUCCAGGGCGACACACGUGCUACAAUGGCCGGCACAGCGGGAAGCAGGGGGCGACCUUGAGCGGAUCCCUCAAAGCCGGUCUCAGUUCGGAUUGCAGUCUGCAACUCGACUGCAUGAAGUUGGAAUCGCUAGUAAUCGUGGAUCAGCCAAGCCGCGGUCGAAUACGUUCCCGGGCCUU
rnacentral:rRNA from 1 species